AUGGACCCCCCUUGGGUCCGGCCAUGGAUAACUCCGGUUCAGGAAGUGAUGGAGCUUCCGCUUAUGGGGAUGAUAAUGAAAUAUCAGACGAUCCAUCACCAUCACCAAGGCCAACGCCAACGCCAACGCCAACGCCAUCACCGAGACCAACUGUAAAGAAGUACAUAUCCUCUCUCGACAUGUUAAACAAGAAGCUUUCAUUGUCAAGGAAAUCGUUACGCGUCAAUGCCAACAAACUUCCAGGUUAUCUAUUGACUUUGAAAACUUUUACAUUAGUAUCCAUUAAAUUUUGUUAGGACAGACAGCUAACAGUGAGAUCUUAGCGAAGUACAAAAGCACGUUAUUAAAAAGUUAUCGUCUAAUGUUAACAAGCAUUGAUUCAAGAUUUGCAUAUUCAAAUGUCCAUCAUAUCCCGAGAAUAGGCAUAAAUUAUUUCUGCUAAUGAAAAAGAAUUCUGGUAAGAAAACUGCAGGGACUUGAUGUACUUGAGAAUUAAGAUUAAGUUUACAUGUCUGGCAAGUUAACAAGUUUAGGUUUAUGUCUCUCCAUUUAAAAUUAAGGCCUAACUAUGUUGAUUCAUCUGCGCUAGGCAUAUUCUUUCAAAUUAUACGACUUUUUUCUUUUAUGGGCUUCAUACUCCCACAAGCUCUGAACUCAUUUCAUUCAUUAUUGCUCUCGGGAUUGGGAUUAGGGCUUAAUUUUUAGCAUUUUUCUCACUAGAAACUAAAUAAGGCCUAUUGCUAUACUAACUCGAACCACAUUAUGUUCUAAUAAGUAAGCAAUGGAGCACACAAGUUUCCGAAUAUUUACAAGCAAAAUCAAAACCAGGAAACACAGAAUAACUUUAUUGGAUUUUAAACCUAUUUGGAAGCACAAGAACGUCUUAUGAAUUAACAUUAUUAUCACUGCUGUUUUCGCAGGGACACCAAAGGGAAGAUCAGUAAGGCCUCCACGAAUAACUCCUCGUGGACGCAGUAUGAGAAUGAGUUCUCGAAAACCAUGGAGGACAUCCGGUCAUGUCUCUGAUUCUGAGCUCUCUUAGGAAAUCCGCGAUAAAGUUUGGUGCCCAACCAAGAACAGAGAACCAAACUUCCACACAAUUUUGUUAGUUUCAUCAGAUAAAUAAAAGCAUUUUCUUAUGUAGUGUCUGGUAUAGGUUAGGACAGUUUAGAGAACAGGACUAUGAUUUACAGCAGAAAGGCAAGGACUCAAAAUUAUACAUGAAACAAUCCAAAGGUUUUUGCCUUUUUAACACACUUUAUUCUUAACAAUUUCUUUUGCUUUUUGAAAAAUUUGUACAAUUUUAC
rnacentral:lncRNA from 1 species